GGCUACAUAGCUCAGCGGUAGAGCAACCGGCUGUUAACCGGUUGGUCGCAGGUUCAAUCCCUGCUGUAGCCG
rnacentral:tRNA from 1 species